GAAAGGUCAUUUAAAUUGGCAGAAUAUAAAAAGGAAAUAGGAAAGGCAUAUUCCAGGAUAACUUUUUUCAUUUGCCUUGAAAAACACUAUAAAAGAGAGUACAAUACCUCCGAUUCUGAUUCUGAAAUUGUCAUCACAACAAGGAGCAGAGCUGAAUUAAAUCGAGCUGACACUUUGGUUUUUGAACCACAAAAUCAAAGUACUCCCAAAUACAAACUGGAAG